AUACGGAGGGGGCUAGCGUUGUUCGGAAUUACUGGGCGUAAAGCGCGCGUAGGCGGCUUAUCAAGUUAGGCGUGAAAGGCCUGGGCUCAACCCGGGAACUGCGCUUAAUACUGGUAGGCUUGAGUCCGGGAGAGGGUGGCGGAAUUCCCAGUGUAGAGGUGAAAUUCGUAGAUAUUGGGAAGAACACCAGUGGCGAAGGCGGCCACCUGGCCCGGUACUGACGCUGAGGUGCGAAAGCGUGGGGAGCAAACAGGAUUAGAAACCCCGGUAGUCC
rnacentral:rRNA from 1 species